CCUGAAGACCAUUCAUGAGCCUGGCAGGCUUCCAUUGUAGGCAACAACAUCUAACAGCCUGACUCGGCCUAAAAAUCUUGUUUGUCAGGCACAUUAUCUCCAAAAUACUCGCCAAACUCGUGUAAAUCAAAUUUAGCAGUUUACACAUUCCAUAUGUUAUAAGAGCAUCUCCAAGAGUCUCCUUGUUGGCUCCUAAAUAUAAUAUAAAAAAUGUGGCUCUUAGUAAUUUAGGACAAAGUUAAGAGUGUAAACUCCAACAAUACUCUCUACAUCUCUUCUCUAUUUCAUAUUUUAUUCAUAUAUUGGGCUCCACUAUAACAAAAGAGAGGGAAAGAUGGAGGUUGAUUGGAGAGAAAGAUUUUUUUAUUGUGAAAAAAUAAGUUAGGAGCCAUGUGGUGGCUCUUAACUUUGAGGAGAGAGGAGAGAGAAACAAGAGACUCUUAAGAUUUAAGAGCCACUUAAGAGUCUCUUGGAGCAACAUUUUGCUUCUCCCUCCUCAAAAUUCAAGUUAGGAGCCUAAAUGAAGAGCCUCUUGGAGAUGCUCUAAUGUACAGUUGCGCAUUUAAGUUUGUAUUGAGAUAAGGUCGUCAUUUGAUUGAUUCCAGCUUUUAUUUAUGAAUAUGGGAAUUACGUUUAGUUGUUAUGAUAUAUUUAGCUGUUUAUUUAUGUUUCACAUUUUUGGCGUUCGCGACAACUUGGAUUUAUUUCAGAUUAAAACCUUGUUGGUAUAGAAAUGAUGCACUUUGCAAAGGAUUUAAUGUGCCCUGUGGAUAUGUUCAAAUUAUGGGUGGGGUCAUCAUCUUGCUCGAUAGACUAUUAUGCUUUGCUACUGAUGCCAGAAGGAAUCAAUAUCUAUACAUUCUUGUAAUAAUUACGUUGUUAUUGUUGCAUACAUGUAUAUUUUCAACUGGCCAAGUACCAGGAACAGUCCUAUUAUGAAUAAUGUCUGAUUACACUUCCUAUAUCAUGUUGCUGGUCAUCCUCAUCCUGUUAUGAUAGAUGCCCAAUUCAGGGAAAUAAUUGUGGGAAAUGGCGCGCAUACGGCUCUGAGAUCUAAUGGCCUUAAAGAGUGCAGGGGUAGAAGGUGUAAUGGUUCAUGCUUGGUGGGGGUUGGUAGAAAAAGAGGGACCUCUUAAGUGCAACUAGGAAGGGUUUGCUGAGCCUGUUAAUCUGGUUCAACAACAUGGCUCCAAGCUCCCAGUUGUCAUGUCUUUGCACCAAUGUGGAGGGAACGUGGGCGACACUUGCAGGUACCCAUAUCUUACCAGCAACAAAUGUAGCGCAGCUCUGAUUUCACAGAAACCUUAUGUCGCAACUCAGUAAAUCGAAGCUGUAUAGGUUUGAUAAAGACGGAAGCCAGUGGAAAGAGAGGGGUGCUGGUACUGUGAAGUUUUUGAAGCACGAGGAGACGGAAAAGGUUCGAUUUGUUAUGCGCCAAUCGAAGACUCUCAAGAUCUGUGCUAAUCAUUUAGUUGUGCCUGGUAUGACUGUUCAGGAACAUGACGGGAAUGAGAAGUCAUGUGUUUGGCACGCAACUGAUUUUGCUGAUGGUGAACUUAGGGAUGAGCUAUUCUGCAUCAGAUUUGGAUCCAUUGAGAGGACCUUAAUACCAUGUUAUUGCCGCUGAUAAAGCCCGCUGGACAUGUAGCCAGGAAGCCUGCCAAUGGACGGACACAACGGUUGGAAUAGCUAUAGUCCAUUGCCCAUCAGAGGCGGAAGGCCACAAGCCGCGCACUCCAGGAUGGUAACAAUAAGUAUCAGGUGCAGGUCGUCUGCUAAUUCGCCUGGUUCAGUCGGACCGCACACAAACCUCCACCUCGACAACAAUCCAUUACUAGAUGCGACAAAUUAUAAGAGGCAAGCUGUCUGUAACCCAGGCAGAAAGGGGCCAGCGGGGAAUAUUUUUGCCUCACAAAUAAACAGUUCUGCUUCAUUUUCUGACCAUUGUUCUUUUACUGUGGUGCGGAAUAGUGGCAUUACAUGUAUAUGCAGUAAGCAGGGAUGCUAAUAUACCUAUGCGUGCCCUCUCAGUUCGAGUGGCAUUCAUUGGGUAACUAUCAAAAUAAUGAUAGAUGAUCCCCGUCACAAUUUGGUGGAUAAACUA